rnacentral:ribozyme from 1 species
GCCUCGCUGGGAAGGUCCGUGGAAGGACCACCACUGCGCUUUGCUGGGGGGUCUCCUCAGACAGCCCGGGCAUCACAAGA